CCAUUUGAAAAAACUUGACUAAUGAGAACUAGGGUUUCCUAGCCCUCACUCUUCUCUUUUGCAACCGCUACUUCUCCUCCUCUCGAUCCAAAUCCGAAUAUUCCUCCUCCGUCUCGAGUCUUCUUCACUACUCGGAAAACCCUAGUAGCCGCUAUCUCCACCCAGAAACCUCCUUCUUUCUCUCAAUCUAAGAUCUCAUCAACGAACUUAGCAGUCCUCUCCAAUCUUUGACAAUACGACAUUGUCAUGACCAGCUCGACUGCUCUCUUUUCCGGCAAACCUUGUUUGCACAACGAGGAGGUAUGCUGACGAUCUCCCACUUCCUCUCUCAGUUGCCUUCUCAAUCUAAUUCUUAUCACAAAUCCGCUCGAAUAUAGCUUUCUCACCUCCUAAUCAUUCAAUUCCAGCAACUGAUACGCGAAAAGCAGAAGCCAGCAGGAUCGACGAAGGAAAAGAGGAGAUGGAGGGGUUCAAAUCCAGUUUCAUUCAAGUUUACAAGGAGAAACGAACAGGUACGAUACAAACUCGUAUUUAUCCUUCUGCCUAGUUUCUGAUUGUGCAUCCUCUAAUCUCGCUUAUGCUUGUGAUUGGGAGUUUUUUGAUGGGGAUAACUACGGGUUAAUAUCAGUGGGAGUGACCAUCAUCGAAAAGGGGAUCUAGAGGUGAUGGUUCGGGUAAGAGAAGGUGUGGACGAUAAGGGUUCCUUCGGCUACGGACUCGGACGAGAAAUCAACGGAGGUAAGAGCUUAGCCUAUUUCAAUUCGUUUUUUCUCUAGUCUAGACCCAUGUUCUAAUUUGAUCUUGAAACGUGAUUGAUGACAGCAACGUUUCAGAGGUGGACGAUUUGACUGUUGGGAGUUUUAAUAGAUUGUAUAAGAUUGGAGAGUGAAUCAUCUGUUUGUUAUUGAUCUUAUGUUUAUAUACAAGUGAACUUAACUGAAGUCCAUACAAAACGGGAGUUAUCCAAGCAACUAACUGUACAUGGAGAGAAUAGGAUAGUAGACUAAUAUUUUUGAUUGUUACCCCCUGCAAGCUCAAGAGCGGGUCAGACUUGAAGUGGUCCGUAGAAAUUAUAGUCCAUCCUUGGAGAGAGGCUUGAUGAAUAUAUUCGCCAGCUGAUCUUGGAUAGAUAUGUAAGUGAUCUUGAGAGUGCAAGAGUCGAUUUGUUCCCGAAUAAAAUGAAAAUCGAGUGCCACAAGUUUAGAUCGAGUCGAAAUCAUCGAAUUCUUGCUUAGAAAUAUAGCUCCGACAUUAUCACAUAGGAGCAGUGGUGGAUGUGGAAAUGGCUGGCCGAGUUCCGAGUAUAAUUAUUGUAACCAGAUGAGUUCAGCUGGCAUGUAGGCUAGAGCUCGGUAUUCGGUUUCGAUACUGGAUCGAGCCACUACCUUCUGCUUCCUGAAACUCCAACUAAUCAGGUUCGUGCCAUGAAAAAUGGAAUACCCAUAUUGAGAUUGACUGUCAUCCGGGUCCGAAACCCA
rnacentral:lncRNA from 1 species